rnacentral:ncRNA from 1 species
GCAAAGCGCCAGAACCGGGGUUUUCCACGCCCCGGUGGACGAGGAAAGGGUUGAUCGAACUGUUCGGCGGGUGCCCUUCGGCAGAUCCGCUGCCGAGAGCUGUGUGCAAAACUGCGGGCAAUCGCAGCACAAAUCG